UUCGGCGAGGCAAAGUCCACGCUGGCGCAGCUUGAGAUGGACGU
rnacentral:ribozyme from 1 species